GACGAACGCUGGCGGCGUGCUUAACACAUGCAAGUCGAACGGAAAGGCCCUGCUUUUGUGGGGUGCUCGAGUGGCGAACGGGUGAGUAACCCGUGAGUAACCUGCCCUUUACUUUGGGAUAACUUCAUGCAACUUGGGCUAAUACCGGAUAGGAGCUCCUGCUUCAUGGUGGGGGUUGGAAAGUUUCGGCGGUUGGGGAUGGACUCGCGGCUUAUCAGCUUGUUGGUGGGGUAGUGGCUUACCAAGGCUUUGACGGGUAGCCGGCCUGAGAGGGUGACCGGACAAAUGGGGACUGAGAUACGGCCCAGACUAGUAUGGGAGGCAGCGGUGGAGAAUAGUGCACAAUGGGCGGAAGCAUGAUGCAGCAAAGCCGCGUGCGGGAAGACGGCCUUCGGGUGGGAAAGCGCUGUCGCCUGUGACGAAGCGUGAGUGACGGUAAUGGGUAAAGAAGCACCGGCUAACUACGUG
rnacentral:rRNA from 1 species